GACGAACGCUGGCGGCGUGCUUAACACAUGCAAGUCGAACGGAAAGGCCCUGCUUUUGUGGGGUGCUCGAGUGGCGAACGGGUGAGUAACACGUGAGUAACCUGCCCUUGACUUUGGGAUAACUUCAGGAGACUGGGGCUAAUACCGGAUAGGAGCUCCUGCUGCAUGGUGGGGGUUGGAAAGUUUCGGCGGUUGGGGAUGGACUCGCGGCUUAUCAGCUUGUUGGCGGGGUAGUGGCUUACCAAGGCUUUGACGGGUAGCCGGCCUGAGAGGGUGACCGGCCACAUUGGGACUGAGAUACGGCCCAGACUCCUACGGGAGGCAGCAGUGGGGAAUAUUGCACAAUGGGCGGAAGCCUGAUGCAGCAACGCCGCGUGCGGGAUGACGGCCUUCGGGUUGUAAACCGCUUUCGCCUGUGACGAAGCGUGAGUGACGGUAAUGGGUAAAGAAGCACCGGCUAACUACGUG
rnacentral:rRNA from 1 species